rnacentral:rRNA from 1 species
CUCUGGGUCCAACCUCCCACCCGUGUUUAUUUACCUUGUUGCUUCGGCGAGCCUGCCUUUUGGCUGCCGGGGGACGUCAGUCCCCGGGUCCGUGCUCGCCGGAGACACCUUAGAACUCUGUCUGAAGAUUGUAGUCUGAGAUUAAAUAUAAAUUAUUUAAAACUUUCAACAACGGAUCUCUUGGUUCCGGCAUCGAUGAAGAACGCAGCGAAAUGCGAUACGUAAUGUGAAUUGCAGAAUUCAGUGAAUCAUCGAGUCUUUGAACGCACAUUGCGCCCUCUGGUAUUCCGGAGGGCAUGCCUGUCCGAGCGUCAUUGCUGCCCUCAAGCACGGCUUGUGUGUUGGGCCCCGUCCUCCUUCCGGGGGACGGGUCCGAAAGGCAGCGGCGGCACCGCGUCCGGUCCUCAAGCGUAUGGGGCUUUGUCACUCGCUUUGUAGGCCUGGCCGGCGCUUGCCGAUCAACCAAACUUUUUAUCAGGUUGACCUCGGAUCAGGUAGGGAUACCCGCUGAACUUAA